rnacentral:rRNA from 1 species
AGUGGGAAAAUUUUUAAGUAGGGGUGAUAUACCUAUCGAACUUAGAGAUAGCUGGUUUUUUAAGAAAAGGAUUUCAGUUCUAUUUUAAACUUUUAUGUUAAUCAAAAAUAUACUUGAGUUUAAAAGUUAUUCAAAUAAGGCACAGCUUAUUUGAGACAGGGUACAACCUAAAGCCCAGGGUACGACAAACAAAUUUUGAUAAGUGGGCCUAAAAGCAGCCAUCUUUCAGAAAGCGUCAAAGCUUAGUGACACUAUUUAUUUAAUAACUACACUUACUUCUAACCCUCACCCGCUAUUAAAAAACCCCAUAAAACUAUGGGAGCUAUUAUGCUAGAACAAGUAACAAGAAAUAGAUUUUCUCCAAAAUGUAAGCUUAAGCCAUAAUAGACACCCUAAUGGCAAUUAACACUUAUAAAUUUAUUUGUAACAACCUCAACAAGAAAACUUUACAUUUUAUAACGUCAACCUUACACCAGCACAUUAGUGGAAAGA